rnacentral:rRNA from 1 species
GAACGCUGGCGGCGUGCUUAACACAUGCAAGUCGAACGAUGAAGCCCAGCUUGCUGGGUGGAUUAGUGGCGAACGGGUGAGUAAUACGUGAGUAACCUGCCUUUAACUCUGGGAUAAGCCUUGGAAACGGGGUCUAAUACCGGAUACGACCAACCCUCGCAUGGGGUGUUGGUGGAAAGGGAUUUUGUACUGGUUUUAGAUGGGCUCACGGCCUAUCAGCUUGUUGGUGAGGUAACGGCUCACCAAGGCGACGACGGGUAGCCGGCCUGAGAGGGUGACCGGCCACACUGGGACUGAGACACGGCCCAGACUCCUACGGGAGGCAGCAGUGGGGAAUAUUGCACAAUGGGCGCAAGCCUGAUGCAGCGACGCCGCGUGAGGGAUGACGGCCUUCGGGUUGUAAACCUCUUUCAGCAGGGGAGAAGCGAAAGUGACGGUACCUGCAGAAGAAGCGCCGGCUAACUACGUGCCAGCAGCCGCGGUAAUACGUAGGGCGCGAGCGUUGUCCGGAAUUAUUGGGCGUAAAGAGCUUGUAGGCGGUUUGUCGCGUCUGCUGUGAAAGCCCGGGGCUUAACCCCGGGUUUGCAGUGGGUACGGGCAGACUAGAGUGCAGUAGGGGAGACUGGAAUUCCUGGUGUAGCGGUGAAAUGCGCAGAUAUCAGGAGGAACACCAAUGGCGAA